GGAGGAUCCGAGCGUUAUCCGGAUCUAUUGGGUUUAAAGGGAGCGUAGGCGGACGCUUAAGUCAGUUGUGAAAGUUUGCGGCUCAACCGUAAAAUUGCAGUUGAUACUGGGUGUCUUGAGUACAGUAGAGGCAGGCGGAAUUCGUGGUGUAGCGGUGAAAUGCUUAGAUAUCACGAAGAACUCCGAUUGCGAAGGCAGCUUGCUGGACUGUAACUGACGCUGAUGCUCGAAAGUGUGGGUAUCAAACAGGAUUAGAUACCCUGGUAGUCCACACAGUAAACGAUGAAUACUCGCUGUUUGCGAUAUACAGUAAGCGGCCAAGCGAAAGCGUUAAGUAUUCCACCUGGGGAGUACGCCGGCAACGGUG
rnacentral:rRNA from 1 species